rnacentral:misc_RNA from 1 species
UGGUGUAUUCGAGACCCCAAGGGUCCUUCUCGGUCGCGCUUUUCUUCACCAGUUCCGAAUUCACGAUACAGGGAACGAUCACGGCGAGAUCGGGAAUCGUGAGACGAUCCUUCUUGGUCUUGGCGAAAUCCACGCGUACGGUGUUGUCGUCAACGAUGACGAAUUGCUCCGGCUUGGUGAGCGAACCCGCGCUCAUCUGGAAAGUCGGGAAGCCACCGACGCU